rnacentral:rRNA from 1 species
UACGAAGGGAGCUAGCGUUGUUCGGAAUCACUGGGCGUAAAGCGCACGUAGGCGGAUGUGUCAGUCAGGGGUGAAAUCCCGGAGCUCAACUUCGGAACUGCCUUUGAUACAGCACGUCUUGAGUCCGAUAGAGGUGGGCGGAAUUCCUAGUGUAGAGGUGAAAUUCGUAGAUAUUAGGAAGAACACCGGUGGCGAAGGCGGCCCACUGGAUCGGUACUGACGCUGAGGUGCGAAAGCGUGGGGGAGCAAACAGG